rnacentral:rRNA from 1 species
AGGCUACGCUGGCGGCGUGUCUUAGCCAUGCAAGUCGAGCGGACUUAUGGGGUAACUUAUAAGUCAGCGGCGGACGGCGGAGUAACACGUAGCUAACCUACCCUCUGGACGGGGAUAACCUACCGAAAGGUGGGCUAAUACCCGAUGUAGUCAUCCUGUAUAGGGGUGAUGAAAGGUGGGCUUCUGUUUACAAGCUCAUGCUGGAGGAGGGGGCUGCGGCCUAUCAGGUAGUUGGUAGGGUAAUAGCCUACCAAGCCGAUGACGGGUAGCCGGCCUGAGAGGGUGACCGGCCCGAGGGGCACUGAGAUACGGGUCCCACUCCUACGGGAGGCAGCAGGCUAGAAAUUUGGGCAAUGGGGGAAACCCUGACCCAGUGACGCCGCGUGCAGGAAGGAGCCCUUCGGGGUGUAAACUGCUGUCGUGUAGGGAGAAGGGUACUAAGGUGAACAAUCUUAAGUACUUGACGGUACUACAGGAGGAAGCCCAGGCUAACCUCGUG